CGCUUUGAACAAUGGCGAAUUCAACCUAGCUGGAGCCGUUUGAGGCAGACAGUGUUAUAGCCCCAUACGAUUACUGGCCAUGCCUAAACCUCUCCAGUAAGUGCGUCGUCUCGGCUGUCGAUUCUAGUAAAGCAUACAAAAUGAAGGUCGCCUUAGUCACCGUCGCACUUGUGGUCGUCGUGUUUGUAAUUACAGAAGUGGAGCUCGCAAAACCAAAAAAGAAACCAGGAUUCAAGAUCGGAAAGCCUGGGUCUCGAGGUAGAGGUAGUCGAGGCAGACCAGCAGGGGUACCCAAGAAACCUCGCCCGAAGAAACUUAGACCUAGGGGACAGGGAAAGAUUACUAAACCGAACAAGCCUCCAACCUCAACUGCUGCAGGGACUGCGGGCGGUGCAACUGAAAGCGCAAUUUCGCCAGCAAUGGGUGGUGUGGGCGGUGGAAUGAAUGACAUGUCAAUGAUGGGAGGAAUGGGAGGAAUGGGAGGCAUGGGCGCCAUGGGAAUGGGAGGCAUGGGUGGAUACGGAAUGAUGGACCCUAUGGGAAUGGGAUACGGAAUGGGAGGCAUGGGUGGCAUGGGAGGCAUGGGAACCUUCGGCAAGGUCAUGAUGGGAACAACACUGGCAACUACCGUGGGAUCAUCACUUACUACGACCGGUACAAGCAUUGCGAGCACCGUCCUGGAACAUAAACGAAAUUCGGCUACUAACGCCGAGGACGACGCUGGUGGAGGCGGGAAAGAAAAAAAAGAAACGUUUACAGAUGGUACUGGUGCCGAUGAGAGCAGUUCCAAUGACGAUAGCAAGUCCAGUAAUAGCGCCAGUAACACCACUUCACCCAAAAGCAAUGGAAAGUCAGCGAAUGAAAAGAAAGCAUCACAUGGAGCCUCUUCGCCAGCCCCUGGACGAGCAGUUGCUGCAUAAAGCAUGACACAUGGAGGAGAAAAGAGCUAACCUGAAAGGGUGAACAGCUGCAAGAGAGCCAUUCAAGAUGGAGAGACAAAAGAAGGACAGGAAUGACAAAUAAAUGCGGUUAUAGAUGCUCAAUAUUCUGCUUGGCUAACAAUGCUAAAGCCUUCCUAAUAGCAGGUGUUUUACACGACCUGUAGUCUGCGCUAUUGUGCAGACUGCGAUUGCGGAUAACUAGCUGGCUAGCUAGUGCAUUGUUUCAUUUCGGCAUUCUAAAAAAGCAGAAAAUAAUGAAGGUCGCUCUAGUCAUCGUCGCACUGGUUGUGUGCUCCAUUAUAGUAACAGAAGCGGAACACGCUAAGGCGACAAGGAGACUAGGCUAUCGUGUUGGAAGAGGAGGCCCAGGAUUUCGGU